UACGAAGGGGGCUAGCGUUGUUCGGAAUAACUGGGCGUAAAGCGCACGUAGGCGGAUUGUUUAGUCGGGGGUGAAAUCCCGGGGCUCAACCCCGGAACUGCCUCCGAUACUGGCAAUCUUGAGUCCGAGAGAGGUGAGUGGAAUUCCGAGUGUAGAGGUGAAAUUCGUAGAUAUUCGGAGGAACACCAGUGGCGAAGGCGGCUCACUGGCUCGGUACUGACGCUGAGGUGCGAAAGCGUGGGGAGCAAACAGG
rnacentral:rRNA from 1 species